CUGCCUCCUCCGCUGCCCCGGGCCUAGCUAGCAGUGGGGACGGGGAGGCUGGAGGCUUCCGUAGACCUGCGCCCGCCGCGGAGCUGGGUGCUUUUGGCCGGAGGGGUUCUGGGACUCUCGAAGCCAGGACAUCUCUCUACUUCGGAGUGCCCACCAUGUACUCCGUUGAUCAGCCUUCCUGCGUAAAAGUCUCAUUCCCCAGCCCCCGCAAGAUGCCUUCCUUUCCGCAUCCUAACGCCCCCACGAGACAGCUCCUUCAGCACAUGGCUCACUUACGUUGGUAUUCUCAACGCCUCUGCAGGCUUUUUGCCUAUGUGAGGCGCCUGAUGGCAGGAACUGCACAUCUGUAUGCACAGCUGGAUUCCAACACCUAGAAAUAGAAUUAGAAUCCAAGAAGGCUCUAUUUUCACUUGUUUGUUUUGUUGGCGGUUGUUUUGCGUUUGUUUGAGUUGGCGUCUCACACUGUGUCGCCUGACUGGCCUCGACUUCCUAUGGCCAAGGGAUCUUCCAGUCUCGGGUUCUCAAGUGCCUGAGACUAUAGGCAUGUGCCGCAGCUCCCAGCUCUUCUGAUUUAACACAAAGGAAAAGGGUAACAGCAUCAGCUGCUCCCAAGAGCCUCAGAAUCAGUGUUAUCCUACCUGACGCUGCAAAAGGAACUUUGAUGGUGUGACUACAUUGAUGAUCUUGAAGUAGAAAGGGCCUCAUCCUGGACCAUGCAAGGGAGCCAGUGUAAUCGCAAGCUUCUCUAUAGAGGCAAUGGGAGGACAAUCAGAACUGGAGGAGAUGGAAUCGUGGAGACAGUGGAAGAUGUGACACAGCUGGCCCUGACCGUGGAGGAAGAGAUCAUGAUAUGGGCAGCACCCAAGGCCUGAAAAUGAAUGAAUGAAUGACGUUCAACAGCAAAGCAGAACUGGGGCUGUCAUCCUGGUAGAGAGGCAGUCUAUCUGGGCUUGAUUUCCUCUUGAGAAGGAAGAAAGCACCUUGCUACUAGGAAGCCUCCUGGAACUUUUGGAGCCCUGAAGAUAAUAGGGGCAGGAAGGCAAGCCAGGUCUUGGGCACCGAUGUCAGUUUGAGAGAAUGAGGACAAGCCCCAAGAGCCAAUAUGGUAAAGACCUUGGGCUUUAUCUUCUGUAUACUAAGGAGCUGCUGAUAGAUUUGUGGCAAGAUGGAAUUGUCCUCAAACUUACAUUUAGGAUGCACAGGACUCUGGAAGGCAUGGGAUUUACAAAUGCAGAGAUGGAGCAGAAUGGGGAGGGGAGGGGUCGUAAAUGUGAGACCAGCCACCAGUUCCUAAUACACUGCAUCGAACCAACACUUUCGUUUAAAGCACUCUCACGAAUUCUCUUCCUGCUGUAUCAUUCCCUUCUUAUAAAGCCUUGUCACAUCAA